AAAUCAUCAGAGCUCAGCAGAAGUCAGUGCAGCUGUAGUGUUUUGGAUCAACCAAGGAUAUGGCCUUAGAGUCUUCCUUUUCAGAAGAAAAAUACAAAUCUUGAUUCUUCUCUGCCAUAUGCUCUCUACAAAGCUGGUUCUUCAAGUCUUUUCCAUGAAGAACAAUGGAGAUUCAGAAAAGGAAGUACAAAGGACUAAAACUGUAAAAAAACCAGACUGUAGUUGGAGCAUUUUGUCUACGGAAGAGCUGCAAUCUAUAAAACAGAAGUACACUCCUUCAGAUGUUCUACACAAUUGCAAAUCAAUUGUUUAUUAUGCGUCCCUGGGCAGUUAAACUGAUCAAUAUCUCAGUUUCAUCUUUGUAUGUACAUUGCGGAAGAAAAUUUUCCUUUCCUCAUGUGAGUUGAAAGAACUGUUUGCUCUUUGUCAUUUCAUCCUCUCUGCUCUAGAGAGUGAGAGAAAAUUAUAGAGAAUGUUGACUAAAACCAUAAAGAUAUAUAAAGCCAACAUGACACCAACAACAUAGUUUAAAAUCCUUAAGAUGACAGCUCAUUUCUGAAAAUUCAGAAAUGCUUAAAUCUGCACACACGAUGAAGUGAAUAAAUGAAUGAGGUGAAAGAACUUUGGAAGGACCAAGUUGCUGAAGGAGAGAACUCUGAGAUCAUUUUGCACUGCAAAGGAAACAAUCCCUUGUCACCCCUUGCUUCCAGCAGAUGUCUGUCUUUCAAUUUCUGUUUAAUCUUUAAAUCUUUAAAAAUUGAAAAAUUGAUGAAAUUCUCUACGUUUCAAUCUGCCCUGAGAAGAUUUUCUUGAUUUUAAACCAAGACAGUAUGUUCUAACCAGCCUGAUGGUUCACAUGAAAUAUGAGACACGCGGGUCACAGUGUUGGAUUCCUCUCAUGGGAACAUAAGUUCUACUUUUGUUUCUAGAAUGUAUUUCGUUAACUCAUUUCCUUUGUCUUUGCUUCAUUUUCCUAAUCAUUAAAUAAAUAAAUAAAUAAAUGGGAU
ensembl:lncRNA